rnacentral:rRNA from 1 species
CCUACGGGUGGCAGCAGUGAGGAAUAUUGGUCAAUGGACGAGAGUCUGAACCAGCCAAGUAGCGUGAAGGAUGACUGCCCUAUGGGUUGUAAACUUCUUUUAUAAAGGAAUAAAACCAGGCACGUGUGCCUUUUUGCAUGUACUUUAUGAAUAAGGAUCGGCUAACUCCGUGCCAGCAGCCGCGGUAAUACGGAGGGUCCGAGCUUUAUCCGGAUUUAUUGGGUUUAAAGGGAGCGUAGAUGGGUUGUUAAGUCAGUUGUGAAAGUUUGCUGCUCAACCGUAAGAGUGAAAUUGAUACUGGCAGUCUUGAGUAGAGUUGAGGUAGGCGGAAUGCGUGGUGUAGCGGUGAAAUGCAUAGAUAUCACGAAGAACCCCGAUUGCGAAGGCAGCUUACUAGACUGUGACUGACAUUGAUGCUCGAAAGUGUGGGUAUCAAACAGGAUUAGAUACCCGGGUAGUC